rnacentral:rRNA from 1 species
AUUGAACGCUGGCGGCAGGCCUAACACAUGCAAGUCGAACGGUAACAGGAAGAAGCUUGCUUCUUUGCUGACGAGUGGCGGACGGGUGAGUAAUGUCUGGGAAACUGCCUGAUGGAGGGGGAUAACUACUGGAAACGGUAGCUAAUACCGCAUAACGUCGCAAGACCAAAGAGGGGGACCUUCGGGCCUCUUGCCAUCGGAUGUGCCCAGAUGGGAUUAGCUAGUAGGUGGGGUAACGGCUCACCUAGGCGACGAUCCCUAGCUGGUCUGAGAGGAUGACCGGCCACACUGGAACUGAGGCAGGGUCCAGACACCUACGGGGGGCAGCAGUGGGGAAUAUUGCACAAUGGGGGCAAGCCUGAUGCAGCCAUGCCGCGUGUAUGAAGAAGGCCUUCGGGUUGUAAAGUACUUUAAGCGGGGAGGAAGGGAGUAAAGUUAAUACCUUUGCUCAUUGACGUUACCCGCAGAAGAAGCACCGGCUAACUCCGUG